GACGAACGCUGGCGGCGUGCUUAACACAUGCAAGUCGAACGGGGAUUAUCGACUGGAAGUUUUCGGAUGGAAGGAUGGUAAUUCUAGUGGCGAACGGGUGAGUAACGCGUGAGCAAUCUGACCUAAACAGGGGGAUAACAACGGGAAACCGUUGCUAAUACCGCAUAAGACCACAAUGUCGCAUGACGAAGGGGUCAAAGGAGGAAUCCGGUUUAGGAGGGGCUCGCGUCCCAUUAGCUAGUUGGUAAGGUAAAGGCUUACCAAGGCGACGAUGGGUAGCCGGUCUGAGAGGAUGAACGGCCACACUGGGACUGAGACACGGCCCAG
rnacentral:rRNA from 1 species